rnacentral:lncRNA from 1 species
GGGAUAUCGUGACAUAUCGGGGUCAUUGGGGUCACUGGGGACACGUCAGGACGGCCGGUGAGGGACAUGUCGCGAUAUAUCGCGAUAUAUCGGGGGAUAUCGGGGGAUAUCGGGGGGAUAUCGUGAUAUAUCGCGAUAUAUCGGGGGAUAUCGGGGGAUAUCGGGGGGAUAUCGUGAUAUAUCGCGAUAUAUCGGGGGAUAUCGUGACAUAUCGGGGGGUAUCGGGGUCAUUGGGGUCACCAGGGACACGUCAGGACGGCCGGUGAGGGACCUGUCGCGAUAUAUCGGGGGAUAUCGGGGGGAUAUCGUGAUAUAUCGCGAUAUAUCGAGGGGUAUUGGGGUCAUUGGGGUCACCAGGGACACGUCAGGACGGCCGGUGAGGGACAUGUCACGAUAUAUCGCGAUAUAUCAGGGGAUAUCGUGACAUAUCGGGGGGAUAUCGUGAUAUAUCGCGAUAUAUUGGGGGAUAUCGUGACAUAUCGGGGGGAUAUCGUGAUAUAUCGCGAUAUAUCGGGGGAUAUCGGGGUGAUAUCGUGACAUAUCGUGACAUAUUGGGGUCACUGGGGACACGUCAGGACGGCUGUGCCGCUGCCGCCCCCCAAGACGCUGCAGCAGGUGGAGGUGCCUCUGCUGAGUCAGCGCCACUGCCACUGCCUGUACGGGAAACACCUGGGGACACACCUGGGGACACCUGAGAGACACCUGGGGACANCCAGGUGACCCCAGGUGUCCCCGCAGUGCCGCUGCCGCCCCCCAAGACGCUGCAGCAGGUGGAGGUGCCUCUGCUGAGUCAGCGCCACUGCCACUGCCUGUACGGGAAACACCUGGGGACACACCUGGGGACACCUGAGAGACACCUGGGGACACCUGAGACACACCUGGGGACAGCUGAGAGACACCUGGACACACCUGAGAGACACCUGGGGACACCUGAGAGACGCCUGGGGACACCUGAGACACACCUGGGGACACCUGAGAGACGCCUGAGGACAUCGGGGACACACCUGGGGACACCUGAGAGACACCUGGGGACAGCUGAGACACACCUGGGGACAUCGAGGACACAGCUGGGGACAUCGGGGACACACCUGAGGACAUCGGGGACACACCUGAGGACAUCGGGGACACACCUGAGGACACACCUGGACACGCCCCUGGAGGACAUGGGGUUACCUGCCGAGGACACCGUGUGUGCCGGGUACCCCGAGGGACAGCGCGACGCCUGCCAGGGUGACUCCGGGGGUCCCCUCUGUUGCCGCCUGGGCGGUUCCUGGCACCUGGUGGGCGUGGCCAGCUGGGGCGUGGCCUGCGG